CCUACGGGGGGCAGCAGUGGGGAAUAUUGCGCAAUGGGCGAAAGCCUGACGCAGCGACGCCGCGUGAGGGAUGAAGGUCUUCGGAUCGUAAACCUCUGUCAGCAGGGAAGAACGGUCACUGUGCUAAUCAGCAGUGAAUUGACGGUACCUGCAAAGGAAGCACCGGCUAACUCCGUGCCAGCAGCCGCGGUAAUACGGAGGGUGCGAGCGUUAAUCGGAAUUACUGGGCGUAAAGGGCUCGUAGGCGGUAUGUCAAGUAAAGGGGGAAAUCCCCGGGCUCAACGUGGGAACUGCCUUUGAAACUGGGAAACUGGAGUGUGUGAGAGGAUAGUGGAAUUCCAGGUGUAGGAGUGAAAUCCGUAGAUAUCUGGAGGAACAUCAGUGGCGAAGGCGACUAUCUGGCACAUAACUGACGCUGAGGAGCGAAAGCGUGGGUAGCAAACAGGAUUAGAUACCCCGGUAGUC
rnacentral:rRNA from 1 species